GACGAACGCUGGCGGCGUGCUUAACACAUGCAAGUCGAACGGAAAGGCCUGCUUUCCCUUGUGGAUUGCGGGUACUCGAGUGGCGAACGGGUGAGUAACACGUGAGUGAUCUGCCCCCAACUUGGGUAUAAGCCUGGGAAACUGGGUCUAAUUCCCGAUAGGACUGCAGGGUGGUGCCUGUGGUGGAAAACGAUUUUCUAGUGGUUGGGGAUGAGCUCGCGGCCUAUCAGCUUGUUGGUGGGGUAAUGGCCUACCAAGGCGGCGACGGGUAGCCGGCCGGAGAGGGGGGACGGCCACAUUGGGACUGAGAUACGGCCCAGACUCCUACGGGAGGCAGCAGUGGGGAAUAUUGCACAAUGGGCGGAAGCCUGAUGCAGCGACGCCGCGUGGGGGAUGACGGCCGUCGGGUUGUAAACUCCUUUCGACCGAGAGGAAGCCACCUGGUUGGAAGGGUGGUGACGGUAGUGGUAGAAGAAGCACCGGCUAACUACGUG
rnacentral:rRNA from 1 species